CUCCAAAAGCAGUAGGACUUUGGCCGUUAAGCAUAUGUGCAUAGAGGAUUAUUGAAAAGACAGAAACAAAGGCUUGGAGGUCAGUGAAGUAUACACAGAAAUGAAAUUAGGGCAGUGGGAAGAAGGGGAUUGAAGCGGUCUGAGCAAGCGUGGGACAUCCACCUUUCCUGUGGGAAGUGUGUACCUUUGGGCCAGAAUCAAAUGUGACGAGUCUGAUUUCUACAUUCAUUUUCCAUCCAGCAGGUUGUUGGGGUUCCUUUCUGUUCCGAAAGCCUCUCCUCCUGAUGUGGAAGAAUUGGUGUUUCAGUACCUGUCUCUGUGGACAGCGCCCUGACCACCAUGCUGUCCCUUCCACCUUCUCCCUCCACAUCACCAACUCUGGCUUCAUCCUCCACAUGAUCCCUUUGUCUGAUGGUGAAUCUGACCAAAGAGUGCGUGCAGCUCUCCCGUUUACAGAGCUUAUGGAUCCCCUAGAGAACCGUCCGGAGUGAGCUGUGCCAGACAUCGCACCUUUCACGUGUCCGGGAUAACUCUGGGAGGCAAGCCCUUUGGCAGGCGAGGGAACUGAAGGUCAGGGAGGUUCCCCGGCUUCCCCACGUCACACAGCACGUUUGUGGUUUGUGUGCAGUAAAACCGUGAUCAGCCUAAUUCCUUAGCUUGUGCUUGGGUCCUUCCAGGGCUGCCCCGCUCCUCUCCUGGAUCCCCAUGAUGUCACACUGUGUUCCCAACGAUGCCACCUGGGUGCCAGAGCACCAGCCCCAGGCCAGAGAGGAAUUGCCACGGGAUGGGCGAGUGGGACAGACGUGGCCGGCCUGCUUCUCUGCUGUCCGUUUCUCUUCCCGAGCACCUGCACCUAUGCAGCACCCCCCACCAGGGGUGCUGGGGGCAACCAGCUGUGUCCCAAGGGGAAAGGUGGCAUCUGGAGGUAGGGAAACUGAGGCCCAGAAGCCCAACUGGGGGUGCUGCGCCGGAGCAGAGGACUGGCCAGCAAAGGGCUCCCUUCCUGUGCAGGCCGGUCAGCCUGGACGCUGCUUCCCCACCGAAGGACCUCUUCAGACACAGAGCCCCCCUUGAAUCGGAGCCCGCGUCAGCCAGGCCUCCUGGGAGGCAUCACCCACCCUCCCCCUGUCGUGUCCCUGAACACACUUCAGUCUGCAUCAUCUCCCGUGGCCAGCCACCUGGUCACACCAGGUCCACGACAGUCAUAUGACAGGACACCACGAUGACCACCAUGCCAGCCCAAGGAAGUCGUCCCUCAGCCCACCCGCCCCCCCCUCCCCCGGAGAGGCCUGUCAGUGGGACCUUGGGACCCUCAGCAGCUCACCUCCCCCCGCUGUAUGGCUGUCCUCUGGGCUCUCCCCCCACCCCGGCGCCUCUCAGCCCCGGGGAGCCCCCAGCCUGCCUGUCCUUCGUCACUCACCUGUGACUCCUCCUCCAAGUGCCCGCCUUUCCCCUGAGCUCCCACCACCCAUGCGUAGCCGGACCUUCUCCCAGCUCACGUGAAAGUUCCUCGUUUGUGGUCCAGAGUCCAGGGAGCAAGUAUCAGCGAAGGUGUUCAGUCUUCCUGGAAACAGGUGAUGCCGGUUCCGAGUCCCUGUGGCUGGUCUCUUGUGCUCUCCACCCUGGGGGCCCCUUACCCGGAACGCUUGGGGCCACACCGCCCAGUGUGCAGGGCCGCCCAGCCUCCCUCCACUCACCCCCAGCAAGGCGGCCCUUCCUGGAGUGUCCAUGGCCUUCCCUCCAGAGCCCUGGACACUUGGUCUGCCUUCAAGGUUACUGCCACGGGAGUUUUAAAAGCGAGAUGUAAAAAAACACCCUACAUCCGGGCCACGGACUGGUAUGCAAAAGGGAAGGCAUCACAGCUUCACGGGGCACCUUGGACGGAGGCUGAGUGACCCAAGACGUCACCUCAAAGCUACAAACCCUGUGAUUCGGUUUAUGUAGCUUCCCCUAAAAGACACGGUGAUGGAUUUGGAGAACAGACAGGUGGGUGCCAGGGCUCAGGGACGGGGCGGGGGUGGGCGCACUCCGAGGGGGCAGCACGCGGGCACCUCGUGGGGACGGCAGCUCCGCCCCCCGGCUGUGGUGGCGGCUGCACAGGGGCGUACGUGUGCACGCACACGCACACGCAUGCACACAGACACACACGUACGUGCACACACACUCACGUCUACACACAAGCCCAUACUCAGGCCUGGAGACACACGCAC
rnacentral:lncRNA from 1 species